GACGAACGCUGGCGGCGUGCUUAACACAUGCAAGUCGAACGGAAAGGCCCUGCUUUUGUGGGGUGCUCGAGUGGCGAACGGGUGAGUAACACGUGAGUAACCUGCCCUUGACUUUGGGAUAACUUCAGGAAACUGGGGCUAAUACCGGAUAGGAGCUCCUGCUGCAUGGUGGGGGUUGGAAAGUUUCGGCGGUUGGGGAUGGACUCGCGGCUUAUCAGCUUGUUGGUGGGGUAGUGGCUUACCAAGGCUUUGACGGGUAGCCGGCCUGAGAGGGUGACCGGCGGCAUUAGGACUUAGAUACGGCCAAGACUCCUACGAGAGGGAGCAGUGGGGAAUAUGGCGCAAUGGGCGGAAGUCUGAUGCAGCGACGGCGAGUGAGUGAAGAAAGUCUUCGGAUCGUAAAACUCUGUUAUGAGGGAAGAACAAAUGUGUAAGUAAAUAUGCACGUCUUGACGGUACCUAAUCAGAAAGCCACGGCUAACUACGUG
rnacentral:rRNA from 1 species